rnacentral:rRNA from 1 species
GGGCCCGACAGAGUUUGAUCAUGGCUCAGGACGAACGCUGGCGGCGUGCUUAACACAUGCAAGUCGAACGUGAUCCACGACUUCGGUUGUGGUGAAAGUGGCAAACGGGUGAGUAACGCGUGGGAAUCUGCCCAGAGGUAGGGAAUAACCGCGGGAAACUGCGGCUAAUACCCUAUGUGCCCUACGGGGCAAAGAUUUAUCGCCUUUGGAGGAGCCCGCGUCGGAUUAGGUAGUUGGUAGGGUAACGGCCUACCAAGCCUACGAUCCGUAGCUGGUCUGAGAGGAUGAUCAGCCACACUGGGACUGAGAUACGGCCCAGACUCCUACGGGAGGCAGCAGUGGGGAAUAUUGGACAAUGGGGGCAACCCUGAUCCAGCAAUGCCGCGUGAGUGAUGAAGGCCUUCGGGUUGUAAAGCUCUUUCGGCGGGGAAGAUGAUGACGGUACCCGCAGAAGAAGCCCCGGCUAACUUCGUGCCAGCAGCCGCGGUAAUA